UUGAACUGAAGAGUUUGAUCAUGGCUCAGAUUGAACGCUGGCGGCAGGCCUAACACAUGCAAGUCGAGCGGAUGAGGGGAGCUUGCUCCCUGAUUUAGCGGCGGACGGGUGAGUAAUGCCUAGGAAUCUGCCUGGUAGUGGGGGAUAACGUUCCGAAA
rnacentral:rRNA from 1 species